GAGUGUGGGCAGUGCCCUGGCUCGGAGGCGGGCAGGGUUGGACACUAAGGGCGCGGGCAGGGAGCAGGGACGAAGCAGGAGGGAGGACAGCCGUGAGGGAGAGCUGGGACAGCCGUGAGGGAGAGCCGGGACAGCCGUGAGGGAGAGACGGGACAACCGUGAGGGAGAGCCGGGACAGCCGUGAGGGAGAGCUGGGACAAACAGCCGUGAGGGAGAGCUGGGACAGCCGUGAGGGAGAGCCGGGACAGACAGCCGUGAGGGAGAGCUGGGACAGCCGUGAGGGAGAGCCGGGACAGCCGUGAGGGAGAGCUGGGACAAACAGCCGUGAGGGAGAGACGGGACAGCCGUGAGGGAGAGCUGGGACAGCCGUGAGGGAGAGCUGGGACAAACAGCCGUGAGGGACAGCCGGGACAGCCGUGAGGGAGAGCCGGGACAACCGUGAGGGAGAGCCGGGACAGCUGUGAGGGAGAGUCGGGACAGACAGCCGUGAGGGAGAGCCGGGACAGCCGUGAGGGAGAGCUGGGACAAACAGCCGUGAGGGAGAGCUGGGACAGACAGCCGUGAGGGAGAGCUGGGACAGCCGUGAGGGAGAGCCGGGACAGCCGUGAGGGUGAGCUGGGACAAACAGCCGUGAGGGAGAGCCGGGACAGCCGUGAGGGAGAGCUGGGACAGCCGUGAGGGAGAGCCGGGACAGACAGCCGUGAGGGAGAGACGGGACAGCCGUGAGGGAGAGACGGGACAGCCGUGAGGGAGAGCUGGGACAAACAGCCGUGAGGGAGAGACGGGACAGCCAUGAGGGAAAGUCGGGACGGCCGUGAAGGGUAGAAGAGCCCAAAGGCAGGCCGGACAAAACACGGGCUGGGGCCAGGAUUAAAAGGAGCUGUGAAGGUUCCAGCAGCAGCUGUUGGGAUGUUCUGCAUCCUGACAGGAAAUCCAGGCUGACACUUGGAGCAGGAGAAUCCCAGGAGAGAUGUCCUCAGUGCCCUCCUUUAGCUCCUCAGGGAUGUGUUAACCCUCAGGGGAUUCCUCCCAGGAAGAGCCACAAAGCAAAAAAUUCCUUCAAGGCUUAAAGAAAAAAAAC